AUGAACGCUGGCGGCGUGCCUAAUACAUGCAAGUCGAGCGAACGGACGAGAAGCUUGCUUCUCUGAUGUUAGCGGCGGACGGGUGAGUAACACGUGGAUAACCUACCUAUAAGACUGGGAUAACUUCGGGAAACCGGAGCUAAUACCGGAUAAUAUUUUGAACCGCAUGGUUCAAAAGUGAAAGACGGUCUUGCUGUCACUUAUAGAUGGAUCCGCGCUGCAUUAGCUAGUUGGUAAGGUAACGGCUUACCAAGGCAACGAUGCAUAGCCGACCUGAGAGGGUGAUCGGCCACACUGGAACUGAGUCACGGUCCAGACUCCUACGGGAGGCAGCAGUAGGGAAUCUUCCGCAAUGGGCGAAAGCCUGACGGAGCAACGCCGCGUGAGUGAUGAAGGUCUUCGGAUCGUAAAACUCUGUUAUUAGGGAAGAACAUAUGUGUAAGUAACUGUGCACAUCUUGACGGUACCUAAUCAGAAAGCCACGGCUAACUACGUG
rnacentral:rRNA from 1 species